UAGGGGGCAAGCGUUAUCCGGAUUUACUGGGUGUAAAGGGAGCGUAGACGGUUGUGCAAGUCUGGAGUGAAAUGCUGGGGCCCAACCCAAGGACUGCUCUGGAAACUGUAUGACUGGAGUGCAGGAGAGGUAAGUGGAAUUCCUAGUGUAGCGGUGAAAUGCGUAGAUAUUAGGAGGAACACCAGUGGCGAAGGCGGCUUACUGGACUGUAACUGACGUUGAGGCUCGAAAGCGUGGGGAGCAAA
rnacentral:rRNA from 1 species